rnacentral:rRNA from 1 species
CCUACGGGUGGCUGCAGUGGGGAAUAUUGGACAAUGGGCGAAAGCCUGAUCCAGCCAUGCCGCGUGUGUGAAGAAGGCCUUCGGGUUGUAAAGCACUUUCAGUGGGGAAGAAAGCCUUGGGGCUAAUACCCUCGAGGAAGGACAUCACCCACAGAAGAAGCACCGGCUAACUCCGUGCCAGCAGCCGCGGUAAUACGGAGGGUGCGAGCGUUAAUCGGAAUUACUGGGCGUAAAGCGCGCGUAGGCGGUCUGAUAAGCCGGUUGUGAAAGCCCCGGGCUCAACCUGGGAACGGCAUCCGGAACUGUCAGGCUAGAGUGCAGGAGAGGAAGGUAGAAUUCCCGGUGUAGCGGUGAAAUGCGUAGAGAUCGGGAGGAAUACCAGUGGCGAAGGCGGCCUUCUGGACUGACACUGACGCUGAGGUGCGAAAGCGUGGGUAGCGAACAGGAUUAGAUACCCCAGUAGUC